CUAUAAAAGAUGUAACAGAUGCAAACUGUAAAACAAGGGCAAUUAACCCUUGCUCUCCUGAGCAGGAUCCCCUCUCGCCUUCUCGUCUAUUGUCUUCUCCUGCACUGGGACUUUUA
rnacentral:lncRNA from 1 species